rnacentral:rRNA from 1 species
ACGAAAUAGCGGGUCCAGGCUGGGUCGCCGUAUACGUAAAUUGACUUCAUCUCUUUUGCAGCGUCAGCAAGUGUCAGAGCGGUUGGGUGUUUUGCACCAUCCCACAACACCACCUGAGGGUUGAU